CUACGGGGGGCUCCAGUUAGGAAUAUUUUGCAAUGCGCGCAAGCGUGACAAAUUGAGCCAGAGUGAUUUUCAUAUUGAAAAUCUUUUGUGGAAUGUAAAAAGUUUCACGAAUAAGGACUGGGUAAGACUAGUGCCAGCCGCCGCGGUAAUACUAGCGGUCCAAGUCGCAGCCAUUUUUAUUGGGUCUAAAACAUCCGUAGCUUGUUUGAUAAGUUUCUUGUGAAAUCUGAUAUCUCAAAUAUUGGGCGUGCAAGAAGUACUGUCAAGCUAGAGACUGGAAGACGUGAGAAGUACGUUUAAAGUAGCGGUAAAAUGUGUUAAUCUUAAACGGACUUACAAUAGCGAAGGCAUCUCACGAGGACAGUUCUGACAGUAAGGGAUGAAGGCUAGGGGCGCAAAACGGAUUAGAUACCCCCGUAGUC
rnacentral:rRNA from 1 species